GCCACGCUCACUUCAGUGGCACUUGCACUAAAACCAGAACUACACCGAGAAGACAGGCUCCUGCACAAGGAUGACAUGUAAACUUGUGAAGCGCUCCAUGUUUUU
ensembl:snRNA U6 U6 spliceosomal RNA